rnacentral:rRNA from 1 species
GCUGAAACUCAAAGGAAUUGACGGGGGCCCGCACAAGCGGUGGAGCAUGUGGUUCAAUUCGACGCAACGCGAAGAACCUUACCUGGGCUCGAACGGCUGGUUAACGGCGGUGGAAACAUCGCUACCCCGCAAGGGGAUCCAGUCGAGGUGCUGCAUGGCUGUCGUCAGCUCGUGUCGUGAGAUGUUGGGUUAAGUCCCGCAACGAGCGCAACCCUUGUCCUGUGUUGCCAUGCCGAAAGGCGGAACUCGCAGGAGACCGCCAGCGAUAAGCUGGAGGAAGGUGGGGAUGACGUCAAGUCCUCAUGGCCUUUAUGUCCAGGGCUACACACGUGCUACAAUGGACGGUACAAAGCGUCGCUAACCCGCGAGGGGGAGCCAAUCGCAAAAAACCGUUCUCAGUUCGGAUUGCAGGCUGCAACUCGCCUGCAUGAAGCUGGAAUCGCUAGUAAUGGCAGAUCAGCACGCUGCCGUGAAUACGUUCCCGGGCCUUGUACACACCGCCCGUCACAUCACGAAAGUGGAUUGUACUAGAAGUCUGCAGGCUAACCCGCAAGGGAGGCAGCGGCCCAAGGUAUGAUUCAUGAUUGGGGUGAAGUCGUAACAAGGUAGCCGUAGGAGAACCUGCGGCUGGAUCACCUCCUUUCUAAG